CCUAGGGGAGGCAGCAGUGGGGAAUUUUGGACAAUGGGGGAAACCCUGAUCCAGCCAUGCCGCGUGAGUGAAGAAGGCCUUCGGGUUGUAAAGCUCUUUCGGCCGGGAAGAAAUCGCACAGGCUAAUACUCUGUGUGGAUGACGGUACCGGCAUAAGAAGCACCGGCUAACUACGUGCCAGCAGCCGCGGUAAU
rnacentral:rRNA from 1 species